GUGGGGAAUCUUGCGCAAUGGGCGAAAGCCUGACGCAGCCAUGCCGCGUGAAUGAUGAAGGUCUUAGGAUUGUAAAAUUCUUUCACCGGGGAAGAUAAUGACGGUACCCGGAGAAGAAGCCCCGGCUAACUUCGUGCCAGCAGCCGCGGUAAUACGAAGGGGGCUAGCGGUGCUCGGAAUUACUGGGCGUAAAGGGCGCGUAGGCGGACAUUUAAGUCAGAGGUGAAAGCCCAGGGCUCAACCUUGGAAUUGCCUUUGAUACUGGAUGUCUUGAGUUCGGGAGAGGUGAGUGGAAUGCCGAGUGUAGAGGUGAAAUUCGUAGAUAUUCGGAAGAACACCAGUGGCGAAGGCGACUGACUGGACAAGUAUUGACGCUGAGGUGCGAAAGCGUGGGGAGCAAACAGGAUUAGAAACCCGGGUAGUCC
rnacentral:rRNA from 1 species